GAAAUGCGAUAAGUAAUGUGAAUUGCAGAAUUCCGUGAAUCAUCGAAUCUUUGAACGCACAUUGCGCCCUCUGGCAUUCCGGGGGGGAUGCCUGUCCGAGCGUCAUUACGCACCCACAAGCCCGGCUUGUGUGAUGGGCCCCGGCGUCUCGUUCGCGAGACGGGCCCGAAAGGCAGCGGCGGCGUCGACCCGAUGAGCCCGAGCGUAUGGGGACUUCUGUCACACGUUCGCGGUGCGGACCGGUGCCUGCUUGACUUUUCUGAUUAUCCAGGUUGACCUCGGAUCAGGUAGGGAUACCCGCUGAACUUAAGC
rnacentral:misc_RNA from 1 species